rnacentral:rRNA from 8 species
GCCACGCCCGUCUGAGGGUCGGC